AUUGAACGCUGGCGGCAGGCCUAACACAUGCAAGUCGAGCGGAUGAAGGGAGCUUGCUCCUGGUUUCAGCGGCGGACGGGGGUGUAAUGCCUAGGAAUAUGCCUGGUAGUGGGGGAUAACGUCCGGAGACGGGCGCUAAUACCGCAGACGUCCUGCGGGAGAAAGAGGGGGAUCUUCGGACCUCACGCUAUCAGAUGAGCCUAGGUGGGGUUAGCUAGUUGGUGGGGUAAAGGCCUACCAAGGCGACGAUCGGUAACUGGUCGGAGAGGAUGAUCAGUCACACUGGAAGGGAGACACGGACCAUAGUCCUACGGGAGGGAGCAGUGGGGAAUAGUGGACAGUGGGCGAAAGCCUGAUCCAGCCAUGCCGCGUGUGUGAAGAAGGUCUUCGGAUUGUAAAGCAGUUUAAGUUGGGAGGAAGGGCAGUAAGUUAAUACCUUGCUGUUGUGACGUUACCAACAGAAUAAGCACCGGCUAACUUCGUG
rnacentral:rRNA from 1 species